rnacentral:rRNA from 1 species
AUUGAACGCUGGCGGCAGGCCUAACACAUGCAAGUCGAGCGGAUGAAGGGAGCUUGCUCCUGGAUUCAGCGGCGGACGGGUGAGUAAUGCCUAGGAAUCUGCCUGGUAGUGGGGGAUAACGUCCGGAAACGGGCGCUAAUACCGCAUACGUCCUGAGGGAGAAAGUGGGGGAUCUUCGGACCUCACGCUAUCAGAUGAGCCUAGGUCGGAUUAGCUAGUUGGUGGGGUAAAGGCCUACCAAAGGCGACGAUCCGUAACUGGUCUGAGAGGAUGAUCAGUCACACUGGAACUGGGACACGGUCCAGACUCCUACGGGAGGCAGCAGUGGGGAAUAUUGGACAAUGGGCGAAAGCCUGAUCCAGCCAUGCCGCGUGUGUGAAGAAGGUCUUCGGAUUGUAAAGCACUUUAAGUUGGGAGGAAGGGCAGUAAGUUAAUACCUUGCUGUUUUGACGUUACCAACAGAAUAAGCACCGGCUAACUUCGUG